rnacentral:ncRNA from 1 species
ACGGAAGCCCGGAGCGGCCAAGGUCCAGCCGGAAGAGAAGGCUCGAUCUCCCAAACCGGGCGACCCAGCACGGACCCCGGUACCCACGGGGAGCCACAGCCGCGAUAAUGGCAGAAGUGUUGCGGGCCUGCGUUAUUGCGAAGAGCGGCCGGUGUCGAGACCCUUUGGGUGGGGUCGCAGCCGAAGCGCAUCGCGAGACCGCCGAGGCCACCCACGCAGCCCACGUGUCGCACGCCUGGUAACCGGGUUCCGUGCUAGCGGGCGGCGAGUCGCGAUCAGCGAGGAGCCGCCCGCUUCAUUUG